rnacentral:sRNA from 1 species
CCCUAGCCCCGAUAGCAGCGGCAUCCUUUUUUGCUGAGGAAUAACCCGGCAAAAAAGAUAUAGCGGAUAGCGGGAAACAGC